ensembl:lncRNA uncharacterized LOC115022026
ACAUGAGGGCUCAUUGGAUCCACAAGUCUCAGCUUUCCAGUCAUACCCAAUUUAUGAAAUUAAUCACAUACACCAUUUUCGAAUAGGCCGAUUGUUUACCCUCUUUCCCGACAAGUUAAGGUUAAAGAGGUUAAACCGUUUCCUAAAAAGGUUGUUGACAGGGUGUGAAGGCAGCAGAUGUUUUGUUCGUUAUAUAUAUCUGCCGUUUGCUCCAACGCUGUGGGCGUUUCCAUAGAGCACGUGAAGGCAUCAGUUGGUCAACGUGCGUCAGUGUCUCCGCCCUGACGGUCAGUGACAGCUCGAGCUCCCUCACCAGCAGAGAACAGACGCGACGAAGCGGCACAGUCCCCUGCUAACAUGAAGGACAACAGUUUGCCCCGAAUUGUAGUUAUUACCUUGUGUACGGUGGUUUUUAUUGCCGUUUUAAUUGUUAACGCUUUGGCUGGAGCGGGAAGGGGUCCUUUCCAUUCCUCCAUAGCUAAUGUGUCAGGCCGCUAUGAGACGGACAUCACUCCAGCUGGCUGGACCUUCUCUAUCUGGGGCGUUAUCUACACCUGGCUCACCCUGAUGGUCAUAUACAUGCUGACAUAUGUAUUCAGAGGAUCCUGGGCUCAGUGUCUGCUGCCCUACACCUUCUAUUUCUUCUGGCUGGCCAACAUGGUGAUGAACAUGAUAUGGUUGCUGCUCUGGGAUAGAGAGUUGAUGCUUGCUUCUCUGGUUGUGUUAAUCCUGAUGGUGAUUUCCAACUACAUUGCUUUGUUCUGCUGUUGCUUUGCCACAGAUUACUAUGGACUCUGGUUACAGACGUACCAUCGCAAAGACCUGGUGGCUCUCAGAAUACUGGUCCAGAAUGGUUUGGCUCUCUACACCACAUGGAUCUCCAUCGCUUCUCUGAUCAACUUCUCAUUGGUUCUCCAUCUGUGGGGUGUGGGCAGGAGCACAGCAGCAACAGCUUCUCUCUGCAUCCUGUUUGCUGAGGUGGUGGGAUGGUUCCUCCUUGAGAACUGGCUGCUGGACCGCUGGGUGCGUAACAUCCUGACAGUGUACCCGGUGGUGAUCGUGGCUCUGGUUGGAAACGUCUUCAAACAUUUUAACCCAGCUGAUCCCACUCCCAACUCUGUGUUUAUGGUUGUACUGCUGGUGUUGGCAUGUGUGCUGCUGGUUUCCCGACUUUGCACCAUCAUCUGGAGAAACACAUGGCGGCCUCUCCACUCCCCAGGCUCGGCCCGGCUCAUGGUUUCACCCCUUGAUGGCAGAACAUUCAAGAUAUUUACUUAAACAACAGGAACUUGUGAAGUAGCUGCUGUGCCACUGCUGCCUUUAAACUCUUUAAAUUCCAUUUCCUCACAAGAUAGUGCAAUGCUCCACGAGGCUUUACAGUCAUGAAGGUGUUCAGCUGAAAGCUUGAAAGUGUUAAGAGUCUGUAACUCUCCUCUUGUCUCCUAUCAAUCUGCAAUUAAGACAAUGCUACACUUUAUUCAAAUAAACUACUAUAACUGUUUACCACUUCUUGCCAUUAAUCUUGUCUAUAUGUAAAGUACUUUUCAUACAAAUACAUGCAUGUGAUUUGAUCAUCAUGUUGUGUAUUGCUAUUUUGAAGGAGUUUUAUUGUUGCAUAUUAUGGCUUUUUUUUAAUUGUGUAUCCAUUCAGUGAUGAUAUAUGUUGGCUUUUAUACAGUCCACUUUGAACUUUGAGCUAAGAGUGUUGUUGAAUACAUUCUCAUUUGCCAAUUAAAGCAUUGUUUUUCACAUCUAAUGCUGUCUGAUUUCCUGAAAAUACGUAAAAUCAACUGCAAAAAAACACUAU